ensembl:snRNA U4 U4 spliceosomal RNA
AUCUUUGCGCAGUGGCAGUAUCGUAGCCUAUGAGGUUUAUCCGAGGCGCGAUUAUUGCUAGUUGAAAACUUUACCCAAUACCCUGCCUUGAUGACUUGAAAAUAUAGUCAGCUAUGGCAAUUUUUGUUGGUCUCUAAAGGAGA